rnacentral:rRNA from 1 species
AGACCCGAAACCCGGUGAUCUAGCCAUGGGCAGGUUGAAGGUUGGGUAACACUAACUGGAGGACCGAACCGACUAAUGUUGAAAAAUUAGCGGAUGACCUGUGGCUGGGGGUGAAAGGCCAAUCAAACCGGGAGAUAGCUGGUUCUCCCCGAAAGCUAUUUAGGUAGCGCCUCGUGAAUUCAUCUCCGGGGGUAGAGCACUGUUUCGGCUAGGGGGCCAUCCCGGCUUACCAACCCGAUGCAAACUGCGAAUACCGGAGAAUGUUAUCACGGGAGACACACGGCGGGUGCUAACGUCCGUCGUGAAGAGGGAAACAACCCAGACCGCCAGCUAAGGUCCCAAAGUCAUGGUUAAGUGGGAAACGAUGUGGGAAGGCCCAGACAGCCAGGAUGUUGGCUUAGAAGCAGCCAUCAUUUAAAGAAAGCGUAAUAGCUCACUGGUCGAGUCGGCCUGCGCGGAAGAUGUAACGGGGCUAAACCAUGCACCGAAGCUGCGGCAGCGAACGUAUCACUUAAAGCGAUUCAGCGGGUUACGAUUGACGGAGCGAAGCGACGUCAAAGCGUAUACAAAGUCGAGUCGGUUUAAGGAUACGUUCGUUGGGUAGGGGAGCGUUCUGUAAGCCCGUGAAGGUGGC